rnacentral:snoRNA from 1 species
GACCUCUGACAAUGGGCAAAGAGACACCUCAUUGGUGGUGGUGUUCUUAUAUCAGUCAGGGGCAGAACAGAUGACAGUCCUUUGUUCAUCCUAGCUUGAUGCCUGGGUUGAUAGCCAAAGCUGUUUCAUAACUAGGGUACAUAA